ACAGAAUUGCCACGAGAGCUAAAAAUAAACAUAAAAAAAGAGAAAAGGCCAGGCAUAACAGUAAAUUUCAGGGCAAAGCUUUGGAGUUCAGGAUAUGUAAAGCCCUCUGUACUUCCGAAGCAUUUAAUUUAGAAGCGCUUACGUCUUUACUUCACUCAAAAGACUUUAAAAUCACCAGUUUUUCGUCUGUUGGUGAGGAAACUGAUGUUAUUCACGUGUAUUCUUUUUCAGAAAGAGGGGAAAUCUUCUUCUUCAAAAGUGGUACUAUUGUUCUUUGGAAUAUCUCUAAUUCUGAAAUGCUUGAG